AUUUAACCAUUUAUGGAGCUAGCCGUCGAAGGUGGGACAAAUGAUUGGGGUGAAGUCGUAACAAGGUAGCCGUAUCGGAAGGUGCGGCUGGAUCACCUCCUUU
rnacentral:rRNA from 1 species